GAUGAACGCUGGCGGCGUGCCUAAUACAUGCAAGUCGAGCGAACGGACGAGAAGCUUGCUUCUCUGAUGUUAGCGGCGGACGGGUGAGUAACACGUGGAUAACCUACCUAUAAGACUGGGAUAACUUCGGGAAACCGGAGCUAAUACCGGAUGAUAUUUUGAACCGCAUGGUUCAAAAGUGAAAGACGGUCUUGCUGUCACUUAUAGAUGGAUCCGCGCUGCAUUAGCUAGUUGGUAAGGUAACGGCUUACCAAGGCAACGAUGCAUAGCCGACCUGAGAGGGUGAUCGGCCACACUGGAACUGAGACACGGUCCAGACUCCUACGGGAGGCAGCAGUAGGGAAUCUUCCGCAAAGGGCGAAAGCCUGACGGAGCAACGCCGCGUGAGUGAUGAAGGUCUUCGGAUCGUAAAACUCUGUUAUUAGGGAAGAACAUAUGUGUAAGUAACUGUGCACAUCUUGACGGUACCUAAUCAGAAAGCCACGGCUAACUACGU
rnacentral:rRNA from 1 species